rnacentral:lncRNA from 1 species
GGCUUUGAAAGGAGGAGUUGCUCAUUGGCUAAGAUCCAGGAGAGUCUUCUGGGAAGGACGCUUCAGUUUCUGCUCCUACCACAGGCCAACUACAUUUUAUGAGAAAUUGCAUUUGCAACAUAAGACACCAUGUCACAGCUGCAGACCUGAACAGGAAAACCACUGAGGCCUCCAAGAACUUGAAGAUGCUUGAGGAGGAGAUUGGCUUCUAUCGCAACCUGCACAGCCAGCUGAGGAUGGCCCAGGCUCAGCUGAAGAACAAGGUGAAUAUGCUGAAGCAGGAAAAUAGGAGAAUUUGGGGGCGAUGUGCCACACUGCAGCAGAACUUGGAGGAAUUGAAAAUGAUCUAUAAGAAUCAACUGGAGGACACCAGUGACCCCCAGACCCAGCAGCAGCAGGAUCCAGAAAGAACGGAGGAAUUGCUGCAGGACAGUCACAAGCAGAAGAAGCUGGGCAUCCAAGAGAAGAAUUUAGCAGAAAAACAGCAGUAUUACUUUGAGGUGCGCCGGAAGAGCCACCUGUACAGCUGCUUCCUGACAGAGCUGAAUCAGUUGAAGAAGAAGCUGGAAAUGCUGAGUCAGGAAAACAAGGAAAUGCAGGGGGAUUGUGCCCUACUACAGCAUCACGUGGAGGACUUGAAACCAAUCUAUAAGAAGCAACAGGAGGAGGACAGUGACCUCCAGACCCAGCACCAAAAGCACAUGGAAAGGAUGGAGGAAAAGCUGCAGUACAUGCUGAAGAAGAAGAAUAUGGCCAUCAAG